AUAAAUAUACAUCCUGUCAAGAUGUCUCUGUGAAUUCUUGGGUCUUUUACUAGCCUUCAAAAUGUUUCAUUUGUUCAUACAUUUGUUUGUUUAACAAAUGCUAUUAUGGAACCUUUAAAAGAAAUAGGAGUAUUCAGGGUAAGGAAAUAAAUCUCAGUCCUUAAUAAAGUUGUAUGCUAUAUUUAGGUAGAAUAAUUAUGUUCUACUGAUUCCCUUUAAAGAAAUAUUCUAGUCUUCAAGAGGUUUUUAUUUGACUGUGAGAUAGACUACAUAAUCAUUUUCACAAUCCACGAUAUAAGCCCAUCUUAGAACAUUCUUUCAUCAGAAUAAUAUCUCUUUAUUGAUACCUUAAAAUUUGGCUUUUCAAAGAAAGUUCUACAAAGAUAGAUAAAUACAAAAAAUUAACAAAAAACCCCAGAAAACCUUGCUUCUCACCAGCAGUUAUUAAAGCUAUUUCUUUGAAUUAAAAACAAAAAAAUCUCAACUUCAACUCUCAAAUAAUCAUUCCUGGAGAAAUUAUAAGUGAAACUAUUACCUCUUUAGUUUUUAUGGAACCUCUCACUUCUCUUCAUUACCCUUGACAUCCUCACCUUUACUUCACUCCUCAGAAUCUACUUUAUGACAUAAUGUUAAGUAUGAUUUUUACCCUGCCCAGAAAUGUUUAACUUACCACCCAGGAGCCUUCUCAGGAAGCAUAACCUACUUCAGCAUCACCCAGGCAUAUAUGCAGCACUUAGCUUUCACCCCCAAACCUUAGGCUUCUUCUUAUUGGUUAAAAUCUUCCUUGAAAAAGAUGACAAGAAAUGAUUGGCCUGGAUUAAUGCUGUAGGCCCCACCCAGCCAUUAGCGCAGAAGAACCUUAAGUACUACAUCAGCUAGUAACCAGGAGUAAACCAUUAAUCCUUCUAGACAGGAAGACAAAGUUUCUUUAAUGCAUGAGGGGAGUUGGAUUGCUCAACAGCCAUCAUCCAAGAAAGUAUGAGCAGCGCUUCAGUCUGAGGCUAAAUAAAUUGAAUCUUGCCAUCUCAUUGCACACGAUUCCUAGUGACCUCCUAUUGUUCAGGGUAUGCAGCAAAAUAUAGGCCUCCAGAGAAGAUUUCUAUACUUUGUAACUAGACAGUGGUAUUUGAGAUUAUUUUAUCUUGCUUAUAGCAGAUAUUAUCUUGAUUCUUCUCUGCACAGGAAGUGAGCAGAUUGAGAGUAUGAUCAAUGAUGUAUUGGAAAUAUUUCUACUUAAUGGGAAACCUCUUUCAAGCAGAAAUCAAACUAUGGAAACUAUUCAAGUGACUUCCAGUUGCCCGAGCAGCAGAGUUGUGGUGUAACACAGAGAUGAGGAACAAGUCUCGGGGGUCGGCAUGCUUGAUUCACAUCCUGGCCCUGCCACUUCCUAUCUGUGUGAACACUGGGAGAAUGAUGAAUCGGUCAAAGAAGAGAAAUCUGAAUUAAAAGAAAAAUCUACAGGAAAUAAGAAAGCCAACAGAUUUCAUCCUUAUUCAAAAGAUAAGAACUCAGGCACUGGAGAAAAGAAGGGUCCAAAUCGUAACAGAGUUUUUAUUAGCAACAUCCCAUAUGACAUGAAAUGGCAAGCCAUUAAAGAUCUAAUGAGAGAAAAAGUUGGUGAGGUUACAUACGUGGAGCUCUUUAAGGAUGCGGAAGGAAAAUCAAGGGGUUGUGGUGUGGUUGAAUUCAAAGAUGAAGAAUUUGUCAAGAAAGCACUAGAAACUAUGAACAAAUAUGAUCUUAGCGGAAGACCCUUGAAUAUCAAAGAGGAUCCUGAUGGAGAAAAUGCUCGUAGGGCACUGCAACGAACAGGAGGAUCAUUUCCAGGAGGACAUGUACCCGACAUGGGAUCGGGAUUGAUGAAUUUACCACCUUCCAUUCUCAAUAAUCCAAACAUUCCUCCUGAGGUUAUCAGUAAUUUGCAGGCUGGUAGACUUGGUUCCACAAUUUUUGUUGCUAAUCUUGACUUCAAAGUUGGUUGGAAGAAGCUAAAGGAAGUGUUCAGCAUAGCUGGAACUGUAAAGCGGGCAGAUAUUAAAGAAGACAAAGAUGGCAAGAGCAGAGGAAUGGGCACAGUCACUUUUGAACAAGCAAUUGAAGCAGUUCAAGCAAUUUCUAUGUUCAAUGGGCAGUUUUUGUUUGAUAGACCUAUGCAUGUGAAAAUGGAUGACAAGUCUGUCCCUCAUGAAGACUACCGUUCACAUGAUAGUAAAACACCACAAUUACCACGUGGUCUUGGAGGCAUUGGAAUGGGACUUGGUCCAGGUGGACAACCUAUUAGUGCCAGCCAGUUGAACAUAGGUGGUGUAAUGGGAAAUUUAGGUCCAAGUGGUAUGGGAAUGGAUGGUCCAGGUUUUGGAGGAAUGAAUAGAAUUGGAGGAGGAAUUGGGUUUGGUGGUCUGGAAGCAAUGAGUAGCAUGGGAGGAUUUGGAGGAGUUGGUCGAAUGGGAGAGCUAUACCGUGGUGCGAUGACUAGUAGCAUGGAGAGAGAUUUUGGACGUGGUGAUAUUGGAAUAAAUCGAGGCUUUGGAGAUUCCUUUGGUAGACUUGGCAGUGCAAUGAUUGGAGGGUUUGCAGGAAGAAUAGGAGCUUCUAACAUGGGUCCAGUAGGAUCUGGAAUAAGUGGUGGAAUGGGUGGCAUGAACAGUGUGACUGGAGGAAUGGGGAUGGGACUGGAUCGGAUGAGUUCCAGCUUUGAUAGAAUGGGACCAGGUAUAGGAGCUAUACUGGAAAGGAGCAUCGAUAUGGAUCGAGGAUUUUUAUCAGGUCCUAUGGGAAGCGGAAUGAGAGACAGAAUAGGCUCCAAAGGCAACCAGAUAUUUGUCAGAAAUCUGCCUUUUGACUUGACUUGGCAGAAACUAAAAGAGAAAUUCAGUCAGUGUGGUCAUGUAAUGUUUGCAGAAAUAAAAAUGGAGAAUGGAAAGUCAAAAGGCUGUGGAACGGUCAGAUUUGACUCCCCAGAAUCAGCUGAAAAAGCCUGCAGAAUAAUGAAUGGCAUAAAAAUCAGUGGCAGAGAAAUUGAUGUUCGCUUGGAUCGUAAUGCAUAAUUUGAAACCACGGUUGGAACAUUCUUACAUCUGUUUUGCUGAAUCUCCUAGUAAAAGUCAUUUUUUUAAGUAAUACUGUAUGCUUACAAAAGUUGUAAAGAUGAACUUUUAAAACUCCCACCAGCUUUUAACAGUAUAGUGUUAAUAUACUGUGAUUUUUGUUAAUCUCAAGUUUGGAUUUUUAAAGACAGCAAGUCUGGUCAUUCAGUUUAAAUGAAUGGUUAUACUAUUUUUAAUGAAAUAAGCCAUUUUCUUGUUAUUUUCAGCUCUGCAUAGUGGGAUUUGUUUGUUCAAGUGUCCCCAGCUUUUAUCAACUUAUUGUAAGGAACAUUUGCUUCAGAGCCCUAAGUGAUCGCAUAAAAACCCUGACUACCAUACUGGAAAGACCUUGUGAAGAGCCCACAUAGAAAUAGAGAUCCCUGAGGAACCCCGGCUGGUUCAGCCCCCCAGUUUUGAAUCUUCCCAUCCCAGGCACCAGACAUGUGAAGGAGGGAGUUUUCAGAUAAUUCUAGUCCUCUCUUCUUACUAUAACUGCAUGAGAGACCUCAAGCAAGAACCACUCAGCUGAGGCCAGUAAACCCCCAAAGCUGUGAGAGGGCUCGAUAAUAUGUGGAGGAAAUUGAAAAAGAACAAAGUGCUUUAUCUUGAAGUAACUGCCUAAACUCAGGGCAGCUGAAGUGUGAAUGGCCAAUCUUCAUUUAAUGCUGGCUGAAGAAUGCUUCAUUAGAAAAAUUCAGUCUUGAGAGAGAAAGGGUGAUCCAUCCGGCUGUUGCAAGAGCCCAAGUUGUCCGCAAAGCCCAAGGCCCACAAAGAAUCAUCCACUGUUGCAGAGAGAAUUUCUAGGAUGAAAGAUUUCUUUUUCCAUGAUGAAGUCUCCAACAAUAAAAACUGAAGACUCUCCUGCUUCAUGACGUCUGUGAAUGAUUUCAGAGCUAUCUUUGAGAACUUAUUCGAAGGAUCAAAAGUGUUUGAUAGCCUACCAAAUGCUAAAACUCAGAGCAAAUACAGCAGGAAGCAUAAGCAAAAGUGAGUCAAGUAAGAAUUUCCCUCUCUUUGUCUGUUUAUCCACAUGUGGUAGCAGCAGCAGGGGUAGCUGACCCCAGCGUCCACCUACCUGUAGCCCUUGGGAGACGUUGGGGCAGGGAGGCACCUGGGGGAGGCAAGCGUGCAGUAGCCCAGAGGAUGCCGAGAAGCAGGGCCCUUCUUGCCCACCGUGGGCCCCCUUUGGUCUGCAUUGCUGCAGCGGUCUUUCUGCAACGUGCAGCCUUGGGAAGGGAGAAGAGGAGGAUUAAGCUGGAUCAUGUGAGGAGUCUCCUUCCUGCCCAGUGCCCUGCCCAGGGCACAUCAAAGCAAGUCCAGUGGACAAGGGAGGGUGAUUGGAGCCAGCCAAGCUACUCUGAUCAGGAGCCCUAAGCCCCAGAGAGGCUGGAGGAGGUAGGGAGGAAGCAGACAGUCCCGUGGCCCACAGUCCCCGAGGGCAGAUCCAGGCAGCUUGCUCUUUACAGAGUGAUUUUAUUUAUUGUCUUCAUACUGGCUCUGCUUUUGACUCUCUCUAGAUUUUUAAGGACCUGAGUUUAUAACUGCUUCCACCUCUCUCUGCAGCCCUUGCUUCUAGAAUUUGCUGGAGCUCGUGUAUGUGCAUUCUUUGGCUAGGCUGUCACCCUUUUAUAUUUCUGUUUUGGCCUCUCGUCCUCUCUCCAAUUAGGAGGCUCUUGCAAUAAUCUAGUGGAGAAAUGGUGGCUUGAACCAGAGCAGUGGCAAUGGGGAUGGAGAGAAGUGGGCAGCUUCAAGAACUAGUAAGAGUCGUAGUGGAUGGAGGCUAUUUGAUCAUUGGUUAGCUGUGCUCUCUGCCAGAGGUUCUAAAAUGCAAAUUGGACAAGCCAGGGAGUGUUCAAAUAUAAACUACUAUCCUCCCUACCCUAGCAUUUACUGGGCUUGCCAAGAUGUUAAGAACUUCUGGCAGUACAGAAACAUGUGGCGAAUAGCACAGGCUCUGUAGCCAGACCACGUGGCUUGAGUCCUAGCAUUGCUGUUUAGUACCUAUAUGACCUUGGGCACGUUAUUUAACCUCUCUGCUCCUCUGUUUCACUCUCUGUAAAAUGGGAAGGUUUUAGUGCCCUCUAUUUGGGUUGUGUGAAGAUUACAUAAAUGAAUGCAUGCAAUCUGCUUAAAACAGCCUCUGCCCCAUGGUCAAUGUUACCUAUCUAUUGUCUAUCAUCUAUAUUAUUAUUAUUAAUGUAUUACUUUUGAUUAAGAUAGAAGCUUCUUGGCCAUAGAGGAAUUUUUUAGUUUUGCAACUCUCAUGGUUCCUUUGCAGAAAAAACAUAAAAAUUGAUGUGCUUGCUAAGUUUUAAAUUUAGAAACUGCGUUUUUCUGGUGGAAAGGAGUCAGUUUGUGAUCUUGAGUUGGUAAAAAUUCUCAAACACUCUUUUGCUUUGCUGGGAAUUGCUACCCAUUAUAAGCCUCUCUGAAACCGUCAUUUCCAGGAACUGACUAUCCAGAUACGUGGUGUGGUUGUGAGGCUGGGAUGAUGAGUCACCAAAGUGUAGCCCAGUAACAGAGCAGAUUCCCAGCAAGCAGAGUUCUGGCUGCUGACACCUGCAGGAAGUGGUGCCCUGGACCACUGGCCUUUGGCCUCAAUGCCAGCAGUGCUAAGCCCCAGGGAAGAGUCCACUUACCUUUGUGUAAGUGGAAAUGUCUCGUGAACCUUUCCUCUCCAAAAUGCAGUAGUUCAAUCAAUUAAUAGAACUAAACAUUAUAAACAAACAAAAUGACAGGAAAACUCAAACCCACAGUGAAAGUGAAUACUUAUGCAAUGUAUGUUGUUAAUCCAGGAAACAGAGCAAGUAUCUGAAUAUAUAAGCCAAUUACAAUGAAACAAUUCCAGUGGAAUCUUGCUCAUAGUAGGUACUUAAUAAACAUUUGUUGAUUAGACUGUAAUGAUUCUUGAAAACACAUUCUCAGAACACACAGUAUACUUGUUCUGAACAAACUAUCCAAUAAAAUAUAGGUUUACCAAGAAAAGAGAAUUUAGGAGGCUAAUUAGAUUUGCUUUAUACAUUUAUUCUUCAUUUUGCAAAAGAAUCUGAAAAAGCUUUAUUGUAAAAUAAAACAUUAAAAAAGCCACAUAAAAUAAAUGUAUAGUUAUUAUAUUACUAUUGUUGUUAUUUAUUUUUAUAAGAUGGACUUCCUUAUAAACUCCCCAAGUCAAGAAAUAAAAUCUUGCCAGCCAUCCCAGAAAUCCUUUCACUUGCUCCAAUCCCAACUUAUCCUUUUCUCUGGGAGUAACCAGUCUCCUGGCUUCUAUAGCAGUCACCUCCUUGUGUGUAUAUUUCUAAUAGUUUAUCGCUCAUCCCUAAUUGGGGGCAUGCUAAGGAUACUAUAGCUUAGCCGUAAAAGAAGUCGUUUAAGUCUCUUUUAGUUUAUAGGUUCCCCCUACUUCUUUUUCUUUUCCCUAUAAUUUGUCUGUUGGAAAACCCCAGGGCAUUUGAUCUGUAGAGUUUCCCACAGUCCUGAUUUAUUGAUUACGUCCUGUGGUAUAGCUCAAUGUGUUCCUCCGUUUUCUAUAUUUUUGUUGAUUGGCAGCUGGAUGCAGAAGUUGUUCAGACUCAGUACUGCCCCUUUGGCAAGACUAGCUCUGCAUGCUCAGAAUCUGCUCUGCUACUGGGCUACCCUUUGGCACCACUAAGGUGGUGGUGAGGUCUUUCCCUCAUAAAGCACACGGUAUCUGCUCCUCUCUUUUGUGGUGAUUUUAGCAGCAGUUCAUGCUCAUUACCUAAAUCUGUUACUAAUUCUUUAGAGCUUGCAAAAGAAUGGCAUUCUUAUUCUAUAAUUUCUUCUUCAUUUAUUACUUGGAAUAUUUUACAAGAAGGUGAUUUCUAUCACCCACUUUGCGGGUACCCAGGGGUACUCAGUUUAGGUAGCAAUGACAAUGUAUAUGCUUGACUCUUCUUUAUUUAUCACUUCUCAAGAUGUUUGGCGCUCUCUUUUCCUUCCCAAAUAACCAAUUCUAUUUAAACAAUUAUUAUGAAUUAGGGUAUUUAAAUAUAUUUGAUGGGCUCCAAUUGUAAUUAUUAUCCUUUCUGAAGUUCAAAUUGUCUCAUCUUUAGCCAGUGGGAGCCUCUUCAGAUUGACUUCUGAGAGCCUUUGACAUGAUCUUAAUAGUUUUGGUAGCUUUCUUACUACCUGAUAUAAAAAGAUGUUCUAGGCUCAUCUUAUACCUCAAACCAGCCAUUUCUCCAAAAUGCCUCUUUAUUUUUUUAAAUGCAAAGUACAUCAAGACCAUGACCUAAGAAUCUGGGUUGCUAGGCAUGGUCAUUGUCUCUCUCUGUCUCUGUCUCACAGACACACACACACACACACACACAUGCACACACACGCACACACACACACCUCUUGAUAGAAUACGUCAUGAGUUCAUACUGGUACUUCUCAUUCAAGGGUCCCAGUUCUCAAGGGUCCCAGUACUUAGGGGACAAUAGAAUAUCCAGUGCUUCAUAAUUACUCAUUUACUGGUGCUAUUUACAUAUAUGAGUCUCAAAAUAAUGGUAUUGAUACCACCACUACUCAUAUAAUUACUGAGAAGAGUUUUAAGAUUUUGCAUAUGCUCUUUCCAUUCGCUUUCUAUUCUAAGAGCUAUAGCCUAUCUGCAUUGCCUGAGCAUAUAGUCAUUAAAUAUAUUCUUUCUCCCUUUAACCCUCAUCUAGUCUUGGUACUACAAGUAACUACAUUUUUAAUGCUUGCCAGCACUCUUAGGUUGAUGUUUCUCUAGCUAUUUUGAUGCCCAAAUCUUAUAUUCUAGUAGAUUCUUUGGAAGGGUUCAUGGGAACAAUAUUCCCUGAGUUCUUUCAUGUUGAUAACAUUAUUAAACUCUGAACUGUGGUUUGUUCUCACAAUGACAAUUAAAAUAAAGAAACAAAUAAAGAAGCCCAGAACAAGCCAUCUGUUGAAAUAGCCAAGUAAGCUAACCUGUUAAAAUCAGUGCAGAGAUGGUUAUUGAGUUGAGGUCAAGGUAUAGACUGGUAGUCGGUUUUUUCUUUUGAGGAGUAAAACUGUCAAAAUCAUCUUGUUCAGGUCUUCCUUGCACACUGACCAGCUUCACCUUCACAGUCUUCUCCCAGAUACGUGGACCUCUGCUGAGUUAGCUUCUUCUAUGUUUGGAAUCAAAGCUAACAGUAAAGUUAUGUUUACUAAGCAUGAGGUAUUCAUGUGCACUAUUCAGUGUAAUUCUCCCACUAACCCUAAAGGAUAGAGGAGUAGUUUUCACUGGCUGCUCAGUAGAAGUAUCUGUGGCUUUUAAAAUUAUUGAUGAUUUGACGCUUACCCAGAUCAAUUGAAUCAAAAUCUAGGGAGUGGCUUAGGCAGGGAUAUUUUUAAAAAUUUCCCAGGUGAUUCUAGGAUUGUUGAGAACUACUGGGAUGGAUACUUCUACCCCUGUUUUAUGGAUGAUAGAUUGAGUCAAUUGCCUAAGAUCUAAGGUUACAUAGUUCCAACUAAAUGUCAGAGCCAGCAUGCAGACAAAGGUCUGUCUAAUGCUAAAGUGCAGGAACGUCCUUACCUGCUAAGCUAAAGCCAGUUCUUCAGAAUGUAAUUGCCAUGAGGGCGAAACUGUGCCUAUCUAAUUUCGUCCUGCAUUUCCAGUGUUCAACACAGUGUUGGGCAUGUGAUGGGCAUCUACUAACUAUUGUUGAAUGAAUGAAUGAAUGAAUGAAUGAAUGAAAUAAGGAAUUCCACAAUGAUUUUUCCUUGACAACGUCCACAGGAUAAGAAUACACAGCAUCUUCUAUAAGUUGAUCCUUUUGUCCCAUCCAAGUGCUAUCUGCUCAGUUCCCCAAGCAUUUGUCUAAAGUGUCCCCUAACCAAGGGGGCUCAGUCAGCUCUCCAGCUCCACCUGCUGGUGCUCCAAACACGGUUGCGCUUUCCAACUUCCUGUUGGAGGGAAUAUGGAAAAUCUACAAUGAGGAACCCUGUGAAAUCAGUCAUUUGAAAAGAGAUUUCGACUUUCCUUCAUGGGAUGAGAGCUAGGAAUGGUGGUCAGCCCCUGCCUUUUAUUAUCUGCACCCCAACCCUGAAAUGAAGGUUUUUGUAGGCUGCCCCAACUACUGUGAAGACAGGAAGGGAAAGGAAGCAGGUGGCUAAGGCUAGUCCCAGGCUCUGACUCCAGCUUGUCAUUAUUACCUUUUUAUUUUUUAACUUUUUGUUAAAAUAUAUAAUAUACCUAGAGAAGAGGGCACAUACUUUGCCAUUGCUUUUUCCUAUUUAAACAGGCAGGGCUCAAGCCCCAUGGGCGCCCCUUAAUGAGAUGAGUGAUUGAUUGUCACCAUGUUAAGCACAGCCUGAGAGAGCUGGGGUGCAGUGAGUGUUGCCUGUAAGUGCAUGGUCAUAGGGAGCCCUCUGUGCCUCAGCUGCUGCUGGCCCAUGAGUGGCUCUCCCUCAGGCUGCUUUCCUAAGAGAGUAGCCUGGGAAUCCUCGUGACAGGGAGCUUUCAGCUCAGUCUGCUGAGCGCCCUCAUUUUUUAUCUCUAACCAUCAUAGAAGUUGCUAGCUGGGGCCAUAGCCAUGGCUGUGAGUGAGCAGCAGCCUGCUCAAUGGUUCACAUAUUCCAGAGGUACCUGCCAGUUUUCUCACAUCCUCAUCCUUAGUGAGUUUAUCAGCAAAAGCCCAGGGUCAAGCACUGGCUGAGAGUAUGACUGAACAGUUCCAGUUUCCAACCCAGUUCAGAUUGGUCUCAUUCACUGCUGUGUGGGUCCAACUCGGUGAAAGUUAUUUAAAACAUUUUGAAUUCCUAGAAGGCCUUCAAAGUUUUCUCAAAAAUUGUAUUUUUUUUUCUUUUCCUGGAGGGCGUAUUCCAAUUCUCUGAAUACUAAUGGGGGGGGGGGCUUCGCGUUUUGCAGAUCAAAUAUGAUUUAAAAUAAAAAACGUUUUAGAGUGGAAAUAAUUUUAGAAUUAGCUAAACCUGGGUUAAAGCUCCCUCCUCCAUUCUUUUUGAAACUCAAUAAAUGGGGAUGAUACCACAUGCUUUUUAGGCUGUGGGAUUACAGACAUAGAACAUAAAUAUUCAUCCCCUUUCCCUCUGCACUGUAACUCCAUGAGAGCAUGUUCUAUGUCACCAGAACUUGGCAGAGUGUUUAGUGCUCAGUGAAAUUGAAUGCACUGGGCAGGCCAUGAGCUGCGGAAAAAAUAAAUAGAUAAGGGAUUUUCAUUAGCUAUAUUUACCAAAAAAUGGAAUUUUGCUUUUAGCCUGCAUUUUGAUCCUUGUUCCACCCACUUCAUUUGUGCUGGCCUUACUCUGUCUUUGUUCUCAGAGUUUAGAUAGAAAAGCCUUCCGAAGUGUUUCAGUACUUGGUGGUUUAAUGAGUGAUCUGGAAAAGGGCCUGCCUCAACCCGGCUUUGUCGUUUUCUCUUCUAGCUCUAUUUCAUUGGGGUGUUCUGAUGGGGUGGCAAGUGAGACAAGAGGAGGGGGGACCCUGACUCAAACGUGCUGGAGUGAGGAGCUUUAGUUUCUUCACUUUAAUAUAAUAAACCCCCUCAGGGUUUGAGCUAGCAUCAUCAUUUUUCCUUAGUCUGCUCUGUGAAGGCUGCCACCCCUAUGUAGGGAGAAGGAUGCCUCCUUUACUCUAAAUAAUUGGUUCAAAGGCAUUCAUCAGGGAUUCUUCCAAAUUUGCUGGGCUUAGAGUUUCUCCCCUAGGCUUGGAACUCAAGAGCCCUAGAGCUCAUAAGGACGGAACAUAAGAGAAUCUGGUCUUGAAGAGGGAACUCCAGUAAGUGCUCUGUAUUUCUCUCCAUACUGGGAUAGGCUAUACACAUCACCUCAUGUGCUUCGAAGUCCUUCCUUAGCAAGUAGAGGUGGAAGUGGUCACAGCUCUGCCACUUUUGUUGUCGUGGAGGGUAUGGAGCUAGAGGAGAAGCAGGGGAGUUGACCAAGAGGAUUGACCACUGUCAUGCCAGUAGCUUGUGCUCCAUGCCCAUGCAGGCCAGGGUUGUUGUUGGUACUGUGACUGUGGUCAUUCUUUGUUAAGUCCUGCAGGCAUGGUUGGCACAAGUCUCUGUGAAAAGGACGCUCGCUUUCCAGACUGCGGGGCUACUCAGUCUGCUGUGUCUUUGGCUGGAUAUUCCCAAAGAACUAGAACUAUGUUACUUUUUUCUAGAACCUAAGGACACACAUAUUUCACCUCUUGCCCUUCUCUCCUGCUUUUUCCAGUUCUUCCCCAAACCAGAAGUUCCCUGUAGGAGACAUGGAUGUGUACCUCCCAGAUACCCCUCAAGGGAGGACUUGUUGCCCCAGCAUGGGGGGUGCUGUCAGCAGAUGGCCUCCAGCUUAGCCCCUUCAGGGACUGCCUGAGCUGCAGAGUCUCCUCACCUGAGAUCACACCGUUCCCAGGGCAGCCCACGUCUAAGUAAGGCAGGGGUGUAGAAGCCCAGCCAUUUGAGUCCCAAGCAGACCAGUCUGACAAGCAGUGCUCAUUUCAGAGCUCCCCACUGGUUGGAGCAAGGCUUCAUUGGACCUGCCUUGAAGUUCAACUUCUUCAACUUCCAAAUCCUGCUUCCUCCCUUUCCUCUCACGGGUGCUGAGCCCCAGUAAACAUCUUAUAACCCAAACUCCAUCUAAAUGACAGCUUCAAAGAACCCUACCUGUGACAGGCCCUAGCCUACCUGAUAGCUUGGUAGAGUUUUAUGCUCAGAACUCCAAACUUUACCCUUGAUAUAUGAACAGUGAGUUUUAGAUUUGAGAAAAUGCCUUUCUCCUUCAACAAAUCUUGGCUUUCAAAAAUGUUGUCGUCUAUGGAUAGAAAAAAACAGAUUGAAUUUGAAACUCAAAGUAAAGGAAUAACUCCUUUGUUUUAGACUGUGUGUACCCUUUUCUUGAAGCAAUGAAUACCACUGAUUCCAUGGGCAGGUUUUUGGAAAAUUUCUAAAGGUUGCAUUGUAUGCAACCCAUUUUCCUUCCAACUUAAUCUUAGUGAAAGAUACUGCCCUGGUUGUCAUCCAUGAUUCCUACUUCUCCCAUCCCCUGCCACCUCUAUCAAUCACCAAGUCCAGAUAACUCUUUCUCCUGAACAUCUCUUGGGUCAACACACUCCUUUCCAUAUCCAUUGCUACCAUCAUCUGUUGCCCAGACUUCUGUAAGUAGCCUCCUGACAAGGGUAUCAUCUCUCUCGCCACCAGCUGUCCUUCCAACACCUGUGUGUCAAGUGGGCAGUUGAAUAUAGGAGUGCAUAGCUCAGAGGUGCAGCCUGGUAGAGGAAGAGGAGCCAACAGGUGAGUUUCAGAAAGAGGGUCACUGAGGCAAGAGGAAAAAUCCAAAGGAAUGUGGUAUUCCCAGAGCAGAAGAUGGGCAGUUUUCACUGAGGACUGGUUAGAGGUUAAGGUGAAAUACAAAACACAGAGCAGAGAGAUCAUGGGUGAUUUUAAGAGGGAAGUUUCACUGGAGUCCUAUGGGUAGAAAUAAAGCUGGAAUAAACCAUGAGAAGGAAAAAAGCAGAGGGUUUUUGACUGUGUGUGAAAGAGAAAUUGAGGAGCUGGACGGGAAUAUUGGAUGAGGGAACUGGGGUUCUGUUUGUCUGUUUUUACCAUGGGACAUUCUUUAGCAUGUUUGUACAUUGAUGGGGAUGAUCCAAAAACAAGCACGAAUUGAAAAUGCAGCAAAGAGAAGGGAACCCUUGAGAAGGUGCUGGGGUUAGGGUUCCAGAGCUCCAGAGGGUAGAUGGGCUUUUGUUGGAGAAGCUCUGCUUCCUCCAUUGAAACAAGAGAAAUGGAGAAGAUGGAUAUAGAUUCACAGAUUAGGUGGGGAAGAGGAUACAUAAAUUCUUAUCUGAUGGUUUCUAUUUUUUAGUCAUAAAGAAUAUUUUAAAAAUCAUGUUUAAUUCAUAUUUGAGGAAGGUUUGAGAAGAGAAACUGUAGACGAUAUGAAAUAAUCUUCAUGAUAUUGGAAAAGCUAAUUUACCAGGCAAACAUAAGAGGAGUGUUGAGUGUUUUAUUCAGGUUUUUGAUCAUGAAUUUAAAGUGAAACUGUUCACCUGUAUUUUGUGUGUAUGUUUAUCCUCCAGUAAUAUUCUAGUUUUAAAAUGCAAGUGUGGAUAAACUGGACUCCAUCAGGCAUGUUUUUUUCCAAGCAAGUGUUGACAGACGAGAGAGGUAUAAAGGAGGAGAGGAAAUUUUCAAGGAGGUGAUUAUAAAUUAUAGACUAUGUGACCUAAAUGAAUAAGAAAGAAAAUAAGAAGAGGGGACUGACUGGUGGGUAAUGAGAACAUGGCUGAUGGUUUGGGGAUGUCAGUGAGGUUAAAAAAUCAUGAGGAGGUGUGAGUUAGAGAUCGGGUUUUCAGAAGCAGAUUUGGAGAUGGUGCUGAUUGCAGUAAUAACCAGGUAGUGUGUGGUAGUAAGACUAGAUCGGCUGUAGUAAAGUGGAGAAAAAGCAACUGGAGAUGAGAAGGUCAAGGCGCUGAAAAUCCAGAGUUUGGAUGUCCUCUCAUCUUGCACACAUCUCAACGUUUUGUAGUUGUUGGUCUAUCUUUCCAACAAGUAUGUUACUUUCUUUUUUUUUUUUUUUUAAGUAUGUUACUUUCUGAAGGAAGGGACGAUGUUUGUCUUGUCAGUACUUCCUCGCUAAUGCCCAGCAUGGUACCUGACCCAUAAAAUACUCAAUAAAUAUUUACUGAAUGAACAAAAAAGUCUAUUAUUUUAAAAAAUUCUAAAAGUUAUUCCUGAAUUGAGAGGUGCAUCCUGGGACACCACUGUCUCGACUCCUCAUGGACCACUUUUUGUGAGCGGCCUUGUGGGUAAUGACAUUUACUGCUGCUGUGGAUGCUGUGAGAAGCACUCCUGUUUAAUUCUCCAUGGUAUUUAGUAUAGGGGCUUGCUGAGGAAGUAAUUCACUCCCUUACACAUUAUCCCCUCCAUUAAGACCCACAAGGGAAAUUUUUUCUAAGAUUUCAUUGCUAGGAAGACCUGUGACUCUCCUGAGUGAACAGACAGUUUGUGAGUCUCAUAAGCAAAUAUGUUUUCCUUUUUGCUCUGCCCAUUACAGCCAGAUGUGUGGCUGAGGCUCGACUUUAGCAAGUACGCAGAAAAAUAUGGUAUCUGUUUGUUAUGAAUUAUUUUACCCUUUGCUUUAUCUGAUUAUCUUUUCCUGAUUUCCUCAUCUUGGUGAUUUCUUCUCAUGUUUUUGUUUCUAUUCUGGAAUCUUUCUUGAAUAUUUAAUGCUAGAGUGUUUUCCCAAGGUUCAGCCGGAUGAAGUUUUCUCUUGACCACUUCAACUGGUGCAAACUUCUGGUGAUAUGUAGAAAGCAAGCCUGUUAUAAACUAUAAUAGUGAAGAUUCAGAUUAGGUCCAUUUAUAAACAAUACGUGUUUCUGAGGCUUUAUUGAGCUAAUUUGAGUUAAGCUUAGAAUUUCUACAAUGUAUAAUAUUCAACGUGUCAUCUGUCUUGGAUAAUACCAGGUACAAAAUUGUUUACGAAAAAGUAAACACAUUUCUGAAGAUUUAUCAGUUAAAUCAAAGGCUCCUAUCUGAGCCUUUAUUAAUUUAAUUAAGGAAUUUUAUGAAUUUUUGACAUAUAUUUGCUUAAUCUAAUAAUUCAAGAAGUGUAAAAAGAACUAAAUCACGUCUAAAGACUCUGGGAGCCUUAUAAGAACAGCAAAUGUGGUAGUAAAGCAGAGAUCAAGAUGACACAUAUGGAUAGAGGCCACUGCGGAAUGAGAAGAAUAAAUGGAAAUGAGAAGACGAGUGAAACUCUAUAGAACUAACCACAUGGGAACACUGAACACAAAGAUCUACACACUGUAAAGGGAAUGGAAGGGAAAAACAGGAAACAGGUUACAGCUGUGAGCUUUGCAGUACACCAUAGUGGAGAGUCAUUAAAUACUGUCAUUGUGGGAAACUGUAUUCCAGAACAUUCAUUGACACCUAUUGUAUUUUAUAAGAGCUGCUUUCCUCAGAUGGAGAUGCGAAGCUGGCAGGACAGAGAAUGAGCGCAGCUCAGCAAGGGUGCUCGCACAGUGGGGCAGAGACCAGACCACUGCAUGUAUUUGUUGGGGACAACUGAAUGCCUCUUUCUCUAAAGUUUGAUCACUAGUCUCAUUAAGUGUUGUGUAUGAGAAGAAUGAGAUUGUUAAUUGUGUUUGCCGUGAAAUAUAUGAGUAAGCAAAUAAAACACAUUAAAAAUGUAUCGACAACUGUAAAAAUAUUCCAGAAUGAUAUAACUUACGUUGGUACAGCUAGUUUUACAUAUUUUUGUAAACUACCUAAAAUCCUUUUUUGGGAGAAGCUGGGUUAUUCAUUAAAGAAUGUAAAACAGGACUACAUAAAGUCAUAUUGCCACUACUGAUUUUUAAAAAAUGACUCUAGGGAUGGAAUGUUUAUUAUUAGUGUUAUUAAAACUUCUAGUUAUCAUACACUGUGAGCUUCUAAUAUGCUAAGCAAUAUGCUAAACAAUUUUUUUUUUUUUUUUGCGGUACGCGGGCCUCUCCCUGCUGUGGCCU